GACGGGGGAUGCGAGCGUUAUCCGGAAUGAUUGGGCGUAAAGGGUCCGCAGGUGGCCCGGUCAGUCCGCUGUAAAAGCCUGGGGCUCAACCCUGGAGAGGCGGCGGAGACCACCGGGCUUGAGUCCGGUAGGGGCAGAGGGAAUUCCCGGUGGAGCGGUGAAAUGCGUAGAGAUCGGGAAGAACGCCAAGGGCGAAGGCACUCUGCUAGGCCUGAUUUCGCGACUGACACUCAGGGACGAGAGCCAGGGGAGCGAAUGGG
rnacentral:rRNA from 1 species